CAGAGAGCCAGGUGGAUCUGUCACGGGCCCAAGUCUCCGCUAACAACAGGUUGCCCCAAGGGCUGGUGUGGCCAGAGCAAUGCCUGAGUUCUCCAAGUGGAGGUCACCAAACUCGAGACGGUGCUGGACUUCGUCUGUAUUCAGCACAGUGGCAAACAAUGAAGACCUUUGCUGAAAACAGAAUCGGAUGAGCACUUCCAUAGAUUCGCCGAAACUCAAAUCCUAGCACUGGGAAGGUUUUUAAAAUGACGCCUAGGCCAGUUAUUUUGUUCCUUCCACAAAGCCAACAACUUCUUUAAUUCCUGCUUUGAUGUCUGCAAGCUAACCAGUGACGUCAUACUUCUGUGCUUAGGGGAUUUCUGUACAUUCUAAGAAAUGUGUCAUCAUGC